rnacentral:lncRNA from 1 species
AUGCUACAAAGCCAAAAACUUGGUGUUAUGGACAUUCACUCGAGGCAUUUUAACUCCAAGAUGUUCACACAUAAUAUUUGAUUUAUGCACUCUAUGAGCAUAGAUGAUGCAAUAGCCCUCCCUAUUAAAAUGGAUAUGGGAAGUUUCCAGUUGCAGCAGCUGAUUAGAAAAAUUAGUCUUUGUUUCUUGGUCUUUAUUUUCCAAAGUACUUGCUUUGACUUUCCUUUAAAUGGAUAAUUAUGGAGUUCUAGUUCACAACUGUUAGGACUUAGGACUUGGGAGACAGGUUAAGAGGAC